AUUGAACGCUGGCGGCACGCCUAACACAUGCAAGUCGAGCGGUAGCAUGAUAUGUAGCAAUACAUAUUGAUGACGAGCGGCGGACGGGUGAGGAACACGUAGGAAUCUACCCUUAAGCGGGGGACAACCAAGGGAAACUUUGGCUAAUACCGCAUAGACUCGAGAGAGUAAAGCUGCCGCGAGGUGGCGCUUGAGGAGGAGCCUGCGUCCGAUUAGCUAGUUGGUAGGGUAAAAGCCAACCAAGGCGAUGAUCGGUAACUGGUCUGAGAGGACGACAAGUCACACUGGGACUGAGACACGGCCAAGGCUCCUACGGGAGGCAGCAGUGGGGAAUAUUGGACAAUGGGGGCAACCCUGAUCCAGCGAUGCCGCGUGAGUGAAGAAGGCCUUCGGGUCGUAAAGCUCUUUAGGUUGGGAAGAAGGGUGUUUGAGGAUAAUUCAAGCAUUUUGACGGUACUGACAGAAUAAGCACCGGCAAACUCUGUGCCAGCCGCCGCGGUAA
rnacentral:rRNA from 1 species